ACGCACGCUGGCGGCGUGCUUCACACAUGCAAGUCGAACGGAAAGGCCCUGCUUUUGUGGGGUGCUCGAGUGGCGAACGGGUGAGUAACACGUGAGUAACCUGCCCUUGACUUUGGGAUAACUCCAGGAAACUGGGGCUAAUACCGGAUAGGAGCUCCUGCUGCAUGGUGGGGGUUGGAAAGUUUCGGCGGUUGGGGAUGGACUCGCGGCUUAUCAGCUUGUUGGUGGGGUAGUGGCUUACCAAGGCUUUGACGGGUAGCCGGCCUGAGAGGGUGACCGGCCACAUUGGGACUGAGAUACGGCCCAGACUCCUACGGGAGGCAGCAGUGGGGAAUAUUGCACAAUGGGCGGAAGCCUGAUGCAGCAACGCCGCGUGCGGGAUGACGGCCUUCGGGUUGUAAACCGCUUUCGCCUGUGACGAAGCGUGAGUGACGGUAAUGGGUAAAGAAGCACCGGCUAACUACGUG
rnacentral:rRNA from 1 species